rnacentral:rRNA from 1 species
AGUCACUGACAUUAGAUACCCCCGUAGUCCAGGGUGUAAACGCUGCAGACUUGGUGUUGGAAGCCCUUUGGGGGCAUUCAGUGCCGGAGAGAAGUUGUUAAGUCUGCUACUUGGGGAGUACGUCCGCAAGGAUGAAACUUAAAGGAAUUGGCGGGGGAGCACCGCAACGGGAGGAGCGUGCGGUUUAAUUGGAUUCAACACCGUAAACUCACCAGGGAAGACUGUUACAUGAAGGCCGAGAUGAAGACUCUGCCAGAUUUUCAG